UACGUAGGGGGCGAGCGUUGUCCGGAUUUACUGGGCGUAAAGCGCGUGUAGGCGGUCCCUUAAGUCCGGGGGGAAAGGCGGAGGCUCAACCUCCGAGCUGCGCCGGAAACUGGGGGUCUUGAAUGUCGGGGAGGGGCGUGGAAUUCCUGGUGUAGCGGUGAAAUGCGUAGAGAUCAGGAGGAACACCGGUGGCGAAGGCGGCGCCCUGGCCGAACAUUGACGCUGAGACGCGAAAGCGCGGGGAGCGAACGGG
rnacentral:rRNA from 1 species